GUGCUGGCUUUGGCAGCUCAUAUACUAAAAUUGGAAGGAUACAGAGAAGAUUAGCAUGGCCCCUGCACUAGAACCUCAUGCAAAUUCGUGAGGCAUUCCAUAUUUUU